GAUGAACGCUGGCGGCGUGCCUAAUACAUGCAAGUCGAGCGAACGGACGAGAAGCUUGCUUCUCUGAUGUUAGCGGCGGACGGGUGGGUAACACGUGGAUAACCUACCUAUAAGACUGGGAUAACUUCGGGAAACCGUAGCUAAUACCGGAUAAUAUUUUGAACCGCAUGGUUCAAAAGUGAAAGACGGUCUUGCUGUCACUUAUAGAUGGAUCCGCGCUGCAUUAGCUAGUUGGUAAGGUAACGGCUUGCCAAGGCAACGAUGCAUAGCCGACCUGAGAGGGUGAUCGGCCACACUGGAACUGAGACACGGUCCAGACUCCUACGGGAGGCAGCAGUAGGGAAUCUUCCGCAAUGGGCGAAAGCCUGACGGAGCAACGCCGCGUGAGUGAUGAAGGUCUUCGGAUCGUAAAACUCUGUUAUUAGGGAAGAACAUAUGUGUAAGUAACUGUGCACAUCUUGACGGUACCUAAUCAGAAAGCCACGGCUAACUACGUG
rnacentral:rRNA from 1 species